rnacentral:rRNA from 1 species
UACGUAGGGUGCAAGCGUUGUCCGGAAUUAUUGGGCAUAAAGAGCUCGUAGGCGGUCUGUCACGUCUGCUGUGAAAACUCGGGGCUUAACCCCGGGCCUGCAGUGGGUACGGGCAGACUAGAGUGCGGUAGGGGAGACUGGAAUUCCUGGUGUAGCGGUGAAAUGCGCAGAUAUCAGGAGGAACACCGGUGGCGAAGGCGGGUCUCUGGGCCGAUACUGACGCUGAGGAGCGAAAGCGUGGGGAGCGAACAGG